CAUGCAAGUCGAGCGGUAGCACAGAGAGCUUGCUCUCGGGUGACGAGCGGCGGACGGGUGAGUAAUGUCUGGGAAACUGCCUGAUGGAGGGGGAUAACUACUGGAAACGGUAGCUAAUACCGCAUAAUGUCGCAAGACCAAAGUGGGGGACCUUCGGGCCUCAUGCCAUCAGAUGUGCCCAGAUGGGAUUAGCUAGUAGGUGGGGUAACGGCUCACCUAGGCGACGAUCCCUAGCUGGUCUGAGAGGAUGACCAGCCACACUGGAACUGAGACACGGUCCAGACUCCUACGGGAGGCAGCAGUGGGGAAUAUUGCACAAUGGGCGCAAGCCUGAUGCAGCCAUGCCGCGUGUGUGAAGAAGGCCUUCGGGUUGUAAAGCACUUUCAGCGGGGAGGAAGGCGGUGAGGUUAAUAACCUUGGCGAUUGACGUUACCCGCAGAAGAAGCACCGGCUAACUCCGUGCCAGCAGCCGCGGUAAUACGGAGGGUGCAAGCGUUAAUCGGAAUUACUGGGCGUAAAGCGCACGCAGGCGGUCUGUCAAGUCGGA
rnacentral:rRNA from 1 species